GUGUAGUUUGUACAGUUGUUUUCUGGCUUCCUGUGUUUGUGGCAGUAGUGGCUUUGGAAUCAAGGUCUCCACGGGACAAAUAAAGACUGCUUUGGUAUUU